GUAUCCUUCGCGAAUGAUCAGAAUCCUGAACGCACUUCGACGUCGCCGCUCGCCGCUCCCCUAGGGAUGCCGCUGGCUCGUCACGCAUUUGCGCGCUUGGUUCGGUUUGUUCGAAGCGUACGAAAUGAAGCCACGGAAAUCCGUGGCUUUUGU
rnacentral:ncRNA from 1 species